UCUUAAAAAAAAUAAAAAGUAAAAUAAAGUUGGAACAAUACAGAGAUAAGCAUGGCCCUGUAGCAAGGAUGACAGGCAAAUCUGCGAAGCAUUCAGUAUUUAA